rnacentral:rRNA from 1 species
GACGUAGGGGGCCAGCGUUGCUCGGAAUUACUGGGCGUAAAGGGUCCGUAGGCGGUGCGGUAAGUCGGGAGUGAAAUCUCUGGGCUUAACUCAGAGGCUGCUUCCGAAACUACCGUGCUAGAGUGCGAGAGAGGCAAGUGGAAUUCCGGGUGUAGCGGUGAAAUGCGUAGAUAUUACGAAGAACACCAAUGGCGAAGGCAGCUUGCUGGGCCACCCCUGACACUAAGGCACGAAAGCGUGGGGAGCGAACAGG